rnacentral:lncRNA from 10 species
CUGGCAGGGUUCUUCUGUUACCCAGGCUGUAGGGCAAUGGCACAAUCAUGGCUGCAGGGAGCCGUGAUCACCCAACUGUACUCUAACCUGCGUGACAGAGUGAGAAGACUUCACUCAGAAAAAAGAAAGAAAAACAAGACGAAAGAAAGAAAUCAAAACAGCAACUUUAAUGUGCAGGAAGGAGUGUUAAGAGACAGAGAACAAGGAAAAACAACUCAAAGUACUGAGGAAAGAAAAUGGAAGUGGAACUAGAAAAAAAAUCACAGGAAGAUCCCUGGAAUCCUGGCUCCUCUGAA